UCGGGAAUUUUGGGCAAUGGGCGAAAGCCUGACCCAGCAACGCCGCGUGAGGGAUGAAGUAUUUCGGUAUGUAAACCUCGAAAGAAUGGGAAGAAUAAAUGACGGUACCAUUUAUAAGCUCCGGCUAACUACGUGCCAGCAGCCGCGGUAAUACGUAGGGAGCAAGCGUUGUCCGGAUUUACUGGGCGUAAAGGGAGCGUAGGCGGACUUUUAAGUGAGAUGUGAAAUACCCGGGCUCAACCUGGGUGCUGCAUUUCAAACUGGAAGUCUAGAGUGCAGGAGAGGAGAGUGGAAUUCCUAGUGUAGCGGUGAAAUGCGUAGAGAUUAGGAAGAACACCAGUGGCGAAGGCGACUCUCUGGACUGUAACUGACGCUGAGGCUCGAAAGCGUGGGGAGCAAACA
rnacentral:rRNA from 1 species